UUGGAGGGCAAGUCUGGUGCCAGCAGCCGCGGUAAUUCCAGCUCCAAUAGCGUAUAUUAAAGUUGUUGCAGUUAAAAAGCUCGUAGCUGAACCUUGGGCCUGGCUGGCCGGUCCGCCUCACCGCGUGCACUGGUCCGGCCGGGUCUUUCCUCCUGGGGAGCCACAUGCCCUUCACUGGGUGUGUUGGGGAACCAGGACUUUUACUUUGAAAAAAUUAGAGUGUUCAAAGCAGGCCUAUGCUCGAAUACAUUAGCAUGGAAUAAUAGAAUAGGACGUGUGGUUCUAUUUUGUUGGUUUCUAGGACCGCCGUAAUGAUUAAUAGGGAUAGUCGGGGGCAUCAGUAUUCAAUUGUCAGAGGUGAAAUUCUUGGAUUUAUUGAAGACUAACUACUGCGAAAGCAUUUGCCAAGGAUGUUUUCAUUAAUCAGUGAACGAAAGUUAGGGGAUCGAAGACGAUCAGAUACCGUCGUAGUCUUAACCAUAAACUAUGCCGACUAGGGAUCGGGCGAUGUUAUUUUUUUGACUCGUUCGGCGCCUUACGGGAAAC
rnacentral:rRNA from 1 species